UGCAAAGCUUCCUCUAUAUGGAAAUGACCUGUUUUCCACUCAUCAGACUGGGGGUGAGAGUGACUGCAGACGUUUGGACCGCUGUAUCUCUUCUACAUUCACACUUUUGGAAUACAAAUCAGAUUUACUGGAAACUAUUGGAAUUUAUAAUGCAUACAAUUGUAUGUAGAUGAAGUCGAUCUUGCCUCUUGAUGAGUUUGUAUCACUGUGGGUCACUUUUGGUGGAGGCACCAAACUCAUCGUUGACUUGGGAGUGGUGCAGCCCACGCUGAGCGUCCUCCCUCCCUCCAGAGUGGAGCUGGAGCAGGGCAGUGCUACACUAGUGUGUACGGCCAGUGGGGGCUUCCCCUCAGACUGGAAGCUUGGCUGGAAGGUGGGGGGCAGCAGCAGGUCUGGGGGGGUGUCAGAUAGCCUGGGGAUCCUGGGGAAAGAUGGCCACUACAGAUGGAGCAGCACCUUGACCCUCCCUGCAGACCAGUGGAGGAAGGCGGGCUCAGUGAGCUGUGAGGCCAGUAAGAAUGGCCAGACGCAGCCUGUCACUCAAACCCUGAAUCCUGACCAGUGUUCAGAGUAG